rnacentral:misc_RNA from 1 species
GUAGGUGAACCUGCGGAAGGAUCAUUAUAGAGAACUUGCCCUACGGGGUAGAUCUCCCACCCUUUGUUUACAUUACCUUUGUUGCUUUGACAGGCCCGUCUCCGGACCACCGGCCUAGGCUGGUCAGCGCCUGUCAGAGGAUUAAAACUCUUGUUUAAUUGUCGUCUGAGUACGAUAUAAUCGUUUACAACUUUUAACAAUGGAUCUCUUGGCUCUG